ACUUUCUCUAUCACGAAAAGUGACGGGAGUCGUCACAGUAUUUCGAAGCUCGUCGAAGCUACAUGACGCCAUCUUCACUUUGAGAAGGAUUUCACUCUUCAGUGGUGGUGUACUUUAAUAGGGGAACAAUCAACACGUGUGUCUUGUUAUUCCUAAGAUAAAUAUGCGAAGAAAAUUGCUCGAUGUCGGAGAUAAAGAAGAUACUGACCCAUUUAAGACAUUGUACCCACAUUUCCAGUCUCUGUGCUACAAGUGAAGCAAUGAAAAUUCUGGAGGCUUUAGAAGAUUCAUUUCUUAUACACAAACGAAUUAUGCGGCAGUGCUAUUUAUGAAACCGACAAAGUUACACGAGACAUAUUGGGUCAUAUUGUUGGUCGAUCUGGCGGUAGGAAAUUGAAAAUUGAAACAUCGAAACAGUAUGCUAAAUGUAACUGAAUUCGGAUAUUUGAAAGAGCAUUUGAUCUGCACGACAUUUGUUGCACAAGCACGAGAUUUAUUUCGAAUGGAAAAUGAUUUAUAGCAAUGUCUUCCUGUA